CAACGCGAAGAGCCUUGCCAGGUCUUGACAUCCCGAUGCUAUUUCUAGAGAUAGAAAGUUACUUCGGUACAUCGGUGACAGGUGGUGCAUGGUUGUCGUCAGCUCGUGUCGUGAGAUGUUGGGUUAAGUCCCGCAACGAGCGCAACCCCUAUUGUUAGUUGCCAUCAUUCAGUUGGGCACUCUAGCGAGACUGCCGGUAAUAAACCGGAGGAAGGUGGGGAUGACGUCAAGUCCUCAUGGCCUUUAUGUCUAGGGCUACACACGUACUACAAUGGCCGGUACAAAGGGCAGCCACUCAGCGAUGAGGCGCUAAUCCCAUAAAGCCGGUCUCAGUCCGGAUUGCAGUCUGCAACUCGACUCCAUGAAGUUGGAAUCGCUAGUAAUCGCGGAUCAGCACGCCGCGGUGAAUACGUUCCCGGGCCUU
rnacentral:rRNA from 1 species